rnacentral:tRNA from 1 species
GGAGAUGUAGCUCAGCACUGUAGCACUUGCCUAGUAUGUAAGAGGCCCUGGGCUCAAACCCCAGCACCA